CGGGUCCUUUAACUUAGUGGCGAACGGGUGAGUAACGCGUGAAUAACCUGACUCAAAGAGGGGGAUAACAACGGGAAACUGUUGCUAAUACCGCAUGAGACCACAACACCGCAUGAUGAAGGGGUCGAAGAUUUAUCGCUUUGAGAGGGGUUCGCGUCCCAUUAGGUAGUUGGUGGGGUAACGGCCUACCAAGCCGACGAUCAGUAGCCGACCUGAGAGGGUGACCGGCCACAUUGGGACUGAGACACGGCCCAA
rnacentral:rRNA from 1 species